UACGUAGGGCGCAAGCGUUAUCCGGAAUUAUUGGGCGUAAAGAGCUCGUAGGUGGUUCGGUAAGUCGGGUGUGAAACCUCCAGGCUCAACCUGGAGACGCCACCUGAUACUGCUGUGACUGGAGUCCGGUAGGGGAGCGUGGAAUUCCUGGUGUAGCGGUGAAAUGCGCAGAUAUCAGGAGGAACACCAGCGGCGAAGGCGGCGCUCUGGGCCGGUACUGACACUGAGGAGCGAAAGCGUGGGUAGCAAACAGG
rnacentral:rRNA from 1 species